rnacentral:rRNA from 1 species
UACGUAGGGUGCGAGCGUUGUCCGGAAUUACUGGGCGUAAAGAGCUUGUAGGUGGUUUGUCGCGUUGUUCGUGAAAACUCACAGCUCAACUGUGGGCGUGCGGGCGAUACGGGCAGACUAGAGUACUGCAGGGGAGACUGGAAUUCCUGGUGUAGCGGUGGAAUGCGCAGAUAUCAGGAGGAACACCGGUGGCGAAGGCGGGUCUCUGGGCCGAUACUGACGCUGAGGAGCGAAAGCGUGGGGAGCGAACAGG